rnacentral:rRNA from 1 species
GACGAACGCUGGCGGCGUGCUUAACACAUGCAAGUCGAACGGUGACCUCGAGAGCUUGCUCUCGAGUGAUCAGUGGCGAACGGGUGAGUAACACGUGAGUAACCUGCCCCAGACUCUGGAAUAACCCCGGGAAACCGGAGCUAAUACCGGAUACGAAGUAGAGCUGCAUGGCUACUACUUGGAAAGUUUUUCGGUCUGGGAUGGACUCGCGGCCUAUCGGCUUGUUGGUGAGGUAACGGCUCACCAAGGCGACGACGGGUAGCCGGCCUGAGAGGGCGACCGGCCACACUGGGACUGAGACACGGCCCAGACUCCUACGGGAGGCAGCAGUGGGGAAUAUUGCACAAUGGGCGAAAGCCUGAUGCAGCGACGCCGCGUGAGGGAUGACGGCCUUCGGGUUGUAAACCUCUUUCAGCAGGGAAGAAGCGAAAGUGACGGUACCUGCAGAAGAAGCACCGGCUAACUACGUGCCAGCCGCCGCGGUAAAAC